AACGAACGCUGGCGGCAGGCCUAACACAUGCAAGUCGAACGUGAAGCUGGAGCUCGCUCCAGCAAUGGAGAGUGGCAGACGGGUGAGUAACGCGUGGGAACCUUCCCAGUGGUACGGAAUAGCCCAGGGAAACUUGGGGUAAUACCGUAUACGCCCCUAGGGGGAAAGAUUUAUCGCCAUUGGAUGGGCCCGCGUCGGAUUAGCUUGUUGGUGAGGUAAAAGCUCACCAAGGCGACGAUCCGUAGCUGGUCUGAGAGGAUGAUCAGCCACACUGGGACUGAGACACGGCCCAGACUCCUACGGGAGGCAGCAGUGGGGAAUAUUGGACAAUGGGCGCAAGCCUGAUCCAGCCAUGCCGCGUGAGUGACGAAGGCCCUAGGGUUGUAAAGCUCUUUUGGCGGGGACGAUAAUGACGGUACCCGCAGAAUAAGCUCCGGCUAACUUCGUG
rnacentral:rRNA from 1 species